CUUCAGCGAUCCCAGCCACAGGGGCUGGUCCUCGGGCCGGUGCUGCCCGUAGGUGGCCAGCAGGGCCUGGGCCUC
rfam:Streptomyces sp. MP131-18 scaf_01, whole genome shotgun sequence.